UUUAAAAUCACAGGCUUUUGUAAAAGUUUAAACCCUUUCACAGCCUCCCCGAAGCACAGACCCACCUCCCCGUGAAAAGGCAGUGGUUCAGCACAAAGAAACAGCUCUCCCACGGCGCCCAUAAAGAUGACAUUUGCCUGGUUUCUAGCUGCCACCUAUCAAACCCCUCACAGUCCCCAUUCAAAGGAACCCCCUAACGAUGCCCAGAACAGUUCUGAACACUGAAAGCUCUCGAUUCUUUCCCAGCAAAGCUUCAAGCGUGGCAGAAGCCUUUGAGGAGAGGAGGGGGCUGUUUUCUGCUCCUGAGGGGCUCCCAAACACGGGCAGCUGAUGAGGGUGUGUGGUGCUACCUCACACCAGCAAGAGGAGGGAGAGAACAAAGCCAACAGCUCAGGUGAAGAUGAGUCCCUGUCACUUGAGUCCUGCCCCAGGACCCGAGAAAGAAAAGGAAACAUGAUCAGGACAAGAAGCCAAGAUUUCUCAGUUCCACCAGGAUUUAGAAGUAAUCUCUCCGAUAAAAUUGUUUGCAUUGCAGCAGCACGUCCAGCGCUCCAGCCCUCCAAACAUGGGCACAGAAACUCCUCCACCUUCUCCAAACCUCACAGCCUGAGGCAGCACGGCAGUGACAAGGGAAUGACGUCCCAAAGCCCUGGUGUGGCCACAGCAGGACGGAGAACUGAGCCCAAACCUCCUGAGUCACCCAUUAAAAAAGCAGCUGCAGCCCUCAGUGAAGCCACUUGUGCCCUGGAGACGGGGAGAACAACAAUCCUGCGGGGCAGGACCAAAGAUUUCCCAAAUCUUCCCACCUUCCUGGUUAUCUGCAGCACAAGCUCUACCUGCUCAGGCUGAAAUUCUGGUAUUUCAGAUCACUGGGUAUUUGAUUUUGCAAUUUUAAUUAUCACCUCUUUACCCCAGUGGCGUUUCUGUGCAAUGAUCACUCCGAGACACUCUCCAGGCUCCUGCCAGGUAACGAUAAGAGCCAUUUAGAGCCAAAAGUUUAGGCACAACACCAAACAGAUAACAGAGGACUGGAGCCAUCCCUCUGCCCCACAGCCCAGCCCAGGACAAGGGCUGUGCAAACCCACCCAGGCUCUGCACAGCAACUCUCUGAGCACCAACACUGCCGAGAUUUUCCCCUUUUAAAUCCUUCACUUCUGUCCCAGCCACAAAUCCCAGAAUUUCUAGGUGAUCUGCAUCAUUUCCCCAGCUAAUCCCUGCAGCAAGAUGGGCAACAGGAUGGAAAUGGAGCCAUGAAUGGAGUAAGGAGGCAUUGCCAUGGAAGGGGUUAACACACUUUCCUAGACCCAUCCUAAUGAGCUGCACAAGAGCUUUCUGUGAUUCAGGUUUCCUUUACUGAUUUACCACUUACCCUGGAUAAGCAAAUGAGCAAUUAGCAGAGCUGCAUCUGUGAUGUCAUUUAAAUUCAAAUGAUACCCUGGCUGCUCAUUAAUAGCAGGAUGUGCAGCUCCAGAGGAUAAACCCAAAUCCUCUCUUAGCAGAAGGUAGAAAUCCCCUUCUCCCAGGAGGAUGGGGGGAUCUGCCCAGGAACAUCGGGCUGGU